rnacentral:rRNA from 1 species
AGAGUUUGAUCCNGGCUCAGAUUGAACGCUGGCGGCAUGCCUAACACAUGCAAGUCGAACGGAAACGAUGGGAGCUUGCUCCCAGGCGUCGAGUGGCGGACGGGUGAGUAAUACUUAGGAAUCUGCCCAUUAGUGGGGGACAACUCGAGGAAACUCGAGCUAAUACCGCAUACGCCCUACGGGGGAAAGCGGGGGAUCUUCGGACCUCGCGCUAAUGGAUGAGCCUAAGUCGGAUUAGCUAGUUGGUGAGGUAAAAGCUCACCAAGGCGACGAUCCGUAGCUGGUCUGAGAGGACGAUCAGCCACACUGGGACUGAGACACGGCCCAGACUCCUACGGGAGGCAGCAGUGGGGAAUAUUGGACAAUGGGGGCAACCCUGAUCCAGCAAUGCCGCGUGUGUGAAGAAGGCCUGCGGGUUGUAAAGCACUUUCAGUAGAGAAGAAAAGCUUAGGCUUAAUACGCCUGAGUCUUGACGUAACCUACAGAAGAAGCUCCGGCUAACUCCGUGCCAGCAGCCGCGGUAAUACGGAGGGAGCGAGCGUUAAUCGGAAUUACUGGGCGUAAAGCGCGCGUAGGCGGCUUUGUAAGUCGGAUGUGAAAGCCCUGGGCUUAACCUGGGAAUGGCAUUCGA